rnacentral:rRNA from 1 species
AGAGUUUGAUCAUGGCUCAGAAUGAACGCUGGCGGCGUGCUUAACACAUGCAAGUCGCACGAGAAAUCUUUAGCUUGCUAAAGAGAGUAAAGUGGCGCACGGGUGAGUAACGCGUGGAUAAUCUACCCGUGAAUCGGGGAUAACAUUGCGAAAGCGAUGCUAAUACCGGAUAAUAUUCUUAUGACUUCGGUUUUUGGAUCAAAGGUGGCCUCUACAUGUAAGCUACUGUUUGGGGAUGAGUCCGCGUACCAUUAGCUUGUUGGUGGGGUAACGGCCUACCAAGGCAACGAUGGUUAGCUGGUCUGAGAGGAUGAUCAGCCACACUGGAACUGACACACGGUCCAGACUCCUACGGGAGGCAGCAGUGGGGAAUUUUGCGCGAUGGGGGAAACCCUGACGCAGCAACGCCGCGUGAGUGAUGAAGGCUUUCGGGUCGUAAAGCUCUGUCAAGUGGGAAGAAAUUAUUAAAUGCCAAUACCAUUUAAUAUUGACGGUACCAUUGAAGGAAGCACCGGCUAACUCCGUGCCAGCAGCCGCGGUAAUACGGGGGGUGCAAGCGUUAUUCGGAAUUAUUGGGCGUAAAGAGCGCGUAGGCGGUUUUUCAAGUCAGAUGUGAAAGCCCGGGGCUUAACCCUGGAAGUGCAUUUGAAACUGGGAAACUUGAGUAUGGGAGAGGGAAGUGGAAUUCCUGGUGUAGAGGUGAAAUUCGUAGAUAUCAGGAGGAACACCGGUGGCGAAGGCGACUUCCUGGACCAAUACUGACGCUGAGGCGCGAAGGCGUGGGUAGCAAACAGGAUUAGAUACCCUGGUAGUCCACGCAGUAAACGUUGAUCACUAGGUGUAGCGGGUAUUGACCCCUGCUGUGCCGGAGUUAACGCAUUAAGUGAUCCGCCUGGGGAGUACGGUCGCAAGAUUAAAACUCAAAUGAAUUGACGG